rnacentral:rRNA from 1 species
CGCUGGCGGCGUGCCUAACACAUGCAAGUCGAACGGUAACAGGGACUUCGGUCCGCUGACGAGUGGCGCACGGGUGAGUAACGCGUGGAUAUCUGCCUAUUAGUGGGGGACAACUACGGGAAACCGUAGCUAAUACCGCAUAAUCUCUACGGAGGAAAGCAGGGGACCUUUCGGGGCCUUGUGCUGAUAGAUGAGUCCGCGUCUGAUUAGCUAGUUGGUGGGGUAAAGGCCUACCAAGGCGAUGAUCAGUAACUGGUUUGAGAGGAUGAUCAGUCACACUGGAACUGAGACACGGUCCAGACUCCUACGGGAGGCAGCAGUGGGGAAUAUUGCACAAUGGGGGAAACCCUGAUGCAGCGACGCCGCGUGCGGGAAGAAGGCCUUCGGGUUGUAAACCGCUUUCAAUUGGGAAGAAGAGAUGAGUACUAAUAUUGCUCUGAUUUGACGGUACCUUUAGAAGAAGCACCGGCUAAUUUCGUGCCAGCAGCCGCGGUAAUACGAAAGGUGCAAGCGUUGUUCGGAUUUACUGGGCGUAAAGAGAUCGUAGGUGGUUUAUUAAGUCGGAUGUGAAAUCCCGGGGCUCAACCCCGGAACUGCAUUCGAUACUGGUAGACUAGAGUUUGGGAGGGGUAAGCGGAAUUCCGUGUGUAGCAGUGAAAUGCGUAGAUAUACGGAGGAACACCUGAGGCGAAGGCGGCUUACUGGACCAAUACUGACACUGAGGAUCGAAAGCGUGGGUAGCAAACAGGAUUAGAUACCCUGGUAGUCCACGCCCUAAACGAUGUCAACUAGCCGUUGCGGGUAUCGACCCCUGCAGUGGCGAAGCUAACGCGAUAAGUUGACCGCCUGGGG